CCAUGACGACGCUUUACGUAAUCCGGAAGUACAUGCGCACCGUUACAAAACAUUUCCAACUCCGGAUUAUUUGUGCGAGUUUCGCAUUGUGUUUGAAGGACCAACACAAGAGAGAACAGCGGAAAUAAAAUGGCUUUAAACCAGAAUCAUUCGGAGGCAGGAGGAGUGAUCAUCAACAACAGUGAGAGUGUUUUGAUGUCCUAUAAGAACGUCGAGCUGGCGUUCAGCGAUGCAGACAGCUUGCCUGACCUGUUUAGGAGGAGCAGGAAAGGGAGUGUCUUUCUCACACCAUACAGGGUGAUCUUUGUAACAAAGGGGAAAGAUGCUUUGCAGUCAUUUAUGAUGCCAUUCUACCUGAUGAAGGGCUGUGACGUGAAACAACCUGUGCUCGGAGCUAACUACAUCAAGGGCACCGUCAGUGCGGAACCGGAAGGUGGUUGGGAGGGUUCUGCAACCUUCAAGCUGAUCUUUGCCGCUGGUGGAGCUAUUUCGUUUGGACAGCACAUGUUGCAGGUGGCUUCACAGGCCUGCAGAGGGCAGCCCGUGAACCCUGAUCUUGUGUGUCCAUACAUGUCUAAUGGUGCGUAUGCCUACCCACCUCCCCCUCCAUCUAACAGCAUCUACUCCACUGGGCCACCUCCUCCUGGCUAUUCAUACCCUGUACCUCCAGGUGCAUUUUAUUCCAAUUUUCAGGAUUUUGAUGGUGCUGCAGCCUCUGUUCCUCCUCCAUCUUACUCCGAAACAAUGGCACAAACCCCUCCAGAUCCCGACCAACCACGUACACCUGCAGGUCCAGAGCACAGCCACAGCCCAUCAGAAAUGUCACGGCCAAAAUAAUAAUCAAUUUCCUGAUAAACGUGAAUUACAUGGAUAGGAUGGAGAUGACCCAAGAUGAGCACUUACAGCCUGAGUGGAGAAUAAAAUAUUAGCAACAUCAAGAUGUGGGGAUGUGGUAACCUAGUGGUUUAGGUGUUGGGCUACCAAUCGGAAGGUUGUGAGUUCGAUUCCCACGUCCACCAAGCUGCCACAGUUGGGCCCCCGAGCAGGGCACUUAACCCUCAAUUGCUCAGUUGAGAUAAAAUGAGAUCAAAUCGGAGGCUAAAGCAGCCGAGGCAGCAGCCAGCGCAAACACCGCUCCUCUUGCUCGUACUCACGUAUACCUGCCAGAUGACAAGCCGCCACCUUACUCACCACCUGAAGACAAGAAGAACCAGUGAAUGCCACCAGCAAUCCCAAAGCACUCCUCACUCAAUGGUCUCUCUCUCUCUCUCUCUCUCUCUCUCUCUCUCUCUCUCUCUCUCUCUCUCUCUAUCUAUCUAUCUCUGACACACAAAUACACACUUUCUGAGCAGCAUUUCAUUUAAUUAAGUCUAAUACCAGGAGUCUAUUCUAAUGAGCAGUAAACUGUUGCGUGGUAUUGCAGAAAAAGCUUAAAAGAUGAAUGUCACGAGUGAGAGAAUAAAAUGUGCAGUGCUUAUCUAGAGUCACAACAGAUAAUUCCUAAUAUAUUUUGCAUAUGUAAAGAGCUAAAUGUAUAUUGGACUUUUUUUAUUUUUUUGGACCUGGCUUAGUUUCAUAGGAUACAGGACCGACACGUUUGGAUAGACUGUGAGGUGAAAAACACUAAUCAUUGCUGUGUAUUAAUUUAGGCAUUAGUACUUUACAUCUUUCCCUGUAUGUUGAAUGUGUUCAACCCAAAGGCACCAUGGUGUAAAUGUGGACCUGUGUAUCUGUGUGCGUCUCUGCACUAAUGCUGCACAUUAAACCCCCCCCCCCCCCCAUUGUCAUGCAAUCCAAAUCACUCCGUUAUGAAGAAAAUCCCAUCCACAGACACUUCUUGCUGUUCAACAAUUCUGACAAUUUAUUUUGGAUAAUAAAAUGUAACCAUCCAAGCAUGCGCUCCGCUAUGAUGUCUAACAUAAUGGUUGUAUUUUAUUAAAGUAAUAUGUACAAGUUUAAA